rnacentral:rRNA from 1 species
CAGCAGCCGCGGUAAUACGUAGGUGGCAAGCGUUGUCCGGAAUUAUUGGGCGUAAAGGGCUCGCAGGCGGUUUCUUAAGUUUGAUGUGAAAGCCCCCGGCUCAACCGGGGAGGGUCAUUGGAAACUGGGAAACUUGAGUGCAGAAGAGGAGAGUGGAAUUCCACGUGUAGCGGUGAAAUGCGUAGAGAUGUGGAGGAACACCAGUGGCGAAGGCGACUCUCUGGUCUUUAACUGACGCUGAGGCGCGAAAGCGUGGGGAGCAAACAGGAUUAGAUACCCCUGUAGUCCCUGUCUCUUAUAC